rnacentral:rRNA from 1 species
AUUGAACGCUGGCGGCAGGCCUAACACAUGCAAGUCGAGCGAGCGGCGGACGGGUGAGUAAUGUCUGGGAAACUGCCUGAUGGAGGGGGAUAACUACUGGAAACGGUAGCUAAUACCGCAUACCAUCGGAUGUGCCCAGAUGGGAUUAGCUAGUAGUUGGGGUAACGGCUCACCUAGGCGACGAUCCCUAGCUGGUCUGAGAGGAUGACCAGCCAAACUGGAACUGAGACACGGGCCAGACUCCUACGGGAGGCAGCAGUGGGGAAUAUUGCACAAGGGGCGCAAGCCUGAUCCAGACAUGCCGCGUGGGUGAAGAAGGCCUGCGGGUUGUAAAGCACUUUCAGCGGGGAGGCGUUACCCGCAGAAGAAGCACCGGCUAACUCCGUGCCAGCAGCCGCGGUAAUAC